CACCUACUCCCUCCGUCUGAAAAAACUUGUCCCAAGCUUGUCCCUCAAAUGGAUGUAUCUAGCACUACAACUUGGUGCUAGAUACAUUCAUUUGAGGAACAAGGUUUUUCGGACGGAGGGAGUAUUAU
rfam:Triticum aestivum genome assembly, contig: Triticum_aestivum_CS42_TGACv1_scaffold_050726_1BS